rnacentral:tRNA from 1 species
GCGUUAGUGGCGGAAUGGCAGACGCACAAGACUCAAAAUCUUGCGAGGUUAAACUCGUGUGGGUUCAAGUCCCACCUGACGCA